rnacentral:rRNA from 1 species
UACGUAGGGUGCGAGCGUUGUCCGGAAUUAUUGGGCGUAAAGAGCGUGUAGGCGGCCAGGUAGGUCUGCUGUGAAAACUCGAGGCUCAACCUCGAGACGUCGGCGGAAACCAUCUGGCUAGAGUCCGGAAGAGGAGAGUGGAAUUCCUGGUGUAGCGGUGAAAUGCGCAGAUAUCAGGGAGAACACCCGUGGCGAAGGCGGCUCUCUGGGACGGUACUGACGCUGAGACGCGAAAGCGUGGGGAGCGAACAGG